GCCGGGCGUUGUGGCAGGCGCUUGUGGUCCCAGCUACUUGGGAGGCUGAGGCAAGAGACUUGCUUGAGCCCAGGAGUUGGAGGUUGCUGUGAGCUGUGAUGCCACAGCACUCUACCCAGGGGGACAGCUUGAGGCUCUGUCUCAAAAAAAAAAAAAAAAAGGAACAGGUGUCAUAUUAAUAUUUUUCUUUUUUUGAAACAGAGUCUCACUUUGCCACCCUCAGUAGAGUGUCAACCUCAAACUCCUGGGCUCAAGAAAUUCUCUUGC
rnacentral:sRNA from 1 species